rnacentral:lncRNA from 1 species
UGGGCACUUUGGAGAGGAGCCAGCUCUGGCCGGCGCCGUGUCUGCUGGCCAGGACCGCGACCAGAGACAGCAGCAGGAGCAAGAGCUGAUCCCACCUGGAGGCUGCAGCAAGGCAUUGUAGACCCGUUUCCCAUCGCUGGUGUCCCCAUGAAGCUCUGACCAGGCCAAAGGAGAAAACCAGAAACACGAGAAGAGAAACACUGCCCUUUGAAAAACACUUCAGAUGGAUGAAAUAAAUGUUG